rnacentral:rRNA from 1 species
AGUGAACGCUGGCGGUAGGCCUAACACAUGCAAGUCGAACGGCAGCACAGUAAGAGCUUGCUCUUACGGGUGGCGAGUGGCGGACGGGUGAGGAAUACAUCGAAAUCUACUUUUUCGUGGGGGAUAACGUAGGGAAACUUACUCUAAUACCGCAUACGACCUACGGGUGAAAGCAGGGGAUCUUCGGACCUUGCGCGAUUGAAUGAGCCGAUGUCGGAUUAGCUAGUUGGCGGGGUAAAGGCCCACCAAGGCGACGAUCCGUAGCUGGUCUGAGAGGAUGAUCAGCCAGACUGGAAAUGAGACACGGUCCAGACUCCUACGGGAGGCAGCAGUGGGGAAUAUUGGACAAUGGGCGCAAGCCUGAUCCAGCCAUACCGCGUGGGUGAAGAAGGCCUUCGGGUUGUAAAGCCCUUUUGUUGGGAAAGAAAGGCAGCAGGUUAAUACCCCGCUGUUCUGACGGUACCCAAAGAAUAAGCACCGGCUAACUUCGUG